ACCCUGCCCAAAGUACGGCUUCUCAGUUCGCAGCUCUCUUCCACUCGCGGCGUCCAGAGGAGGGCGGUGGGCUGGAGAGCGUGGGCCUGGGGUGACGGAAUGCUCUGUGCGGGGAUCGCAGGCCCCCGAGCUGCAGGGGGCAGCAAAGCGCGCCCACCUGCCCGCCUGCCCGAGGAGAACACCGCAGCUCUGCUAAUCGAGGGACAGCCGCAACCCAAAGUUCGGCAGCUUUCCGCCUGAGCUUCCCCUCCCUGAGCGAGGACACUGGAGGGAGGCAGAGACGGAGAGCCCAUGGGCAGAUCUGCAUCCUCCAAAAGCCUCCAUAGCCUCUGGGAAGGAAAUGUAUCGAGGAGGCCUGGAGGGAAGCAGGGAGACACCCAUGAGUCUAAUGAGAUCAAGUGGCCUGAGUGGGUUGAAGUCCUUGGAUCAGACCGUGGAAGCUGGAAUGGAGAGAGAUUUCGGAGGGGCAGCCAGACCUGAUGGACAAUAGGAUUCCCAGACAAGCAAAAGAGGUUUCCCUCCCUUACU
rnacentral:lncRNA from 1 species